rnacentral:rRNA from 1 species
CCUACGGGAGGCAGCAGUGAGGAAUAUUGGUCAAUGGGCGGGAGCCUGAACCAGCCAAGUCGCGUGAGGGAAGACGGUCCUAUGGAUUGUAAACCUCUUUAGGCGGGGAGCAAUGCCGGGCACGCGUGCCCGGAGGGAGAGUACCCGCAGAAUAAGCAUCGGCUAACUCCGUGCCAGCAGCCGCGGUAAUACGGAGGAUGCGAGCGUUAUCCGGAUGUAUUGGGUUUGAAGGGUGCGUAGGCGGAUUUUUAAGGCAGCGGUAAAAUGUCCGGGCUCAACCCGGGCCGGCCGUUGAAACUGGGGAUCUUGAGUGGGCGAGAAGUAUGCGGAAUGCGUGGUGUAGCGGUGAAAUGCAUAGAUAUCACGCAGAACUCCGAUUGCGAAGGCAGCAUACCGGCGCCCGACUGACGCUGAGGCACGAAAGCGUGGGGAUCGAACAGGAUUAGAUACCCGAGUAGUC